UCUCUGGUGGCUCAGAUAGUAAAGCAUCUGCCUGCAAUGCAGGAGACACAGGUUCAAUUUCUGGGUUGAGAA
rfam:TPA: Bos taurus chromosome 1, whole genome shotgun sequence.